rnacentral:sRNA from 1 species
AAGAGAAUGAAAAAUGGCUGCUGGUAGUCAAAUGGUACUGGAAGUAAAAAAGAAUAAACUAAAUAAUAGUUCCAAGUACUUUACAUGAGGACAAAAAAUUAGACCGUAGUUUAAAGUUG